UGUUCUCCGAGAUGUACGUCGCUUUGGAGAAAAGCGUCUGCUAAAUGAAUAAAU
rfam:Scleropages formosus scaffold7646, whole genome shotgun sequence.